rnacentral:rRNA from 1 species
UACGGAGGAUCCGAGCGUUAUCCGGAUUUAUUGGGUUUAAAGGGUGCGUAGGCGGACUGAUAAGUCAGCUGUGAAAGUUUGCGGCUCAACCGUAAAAUUGCAGUUGAAACUGUCAGUCUUGAGUGUACAUAAGGUAGGCGGAAUUCGUGGUGUAGCGGUGAAAUGCUUAGAUAUCACGAAGAACUCCAAUUGCGAAGGCAGCUUACCGGGGUACAACUGACGCUGAGGCACGAAAGCGUGGGUAUCAAACAGG